rnacentral:rRNA from 1 species
CGCGAAAACUCUACGAAUGCACGCAAGUGUGAUAGGGCAACCCCUCGUGCUCAACUAACGUUGGGCUUUUAAUAUGUGUAAUGUACAUAAUGAAUAAGUGGUGGGCAAGACCGGUGCCAGCAGCCGCGGUAAUACCGGCGCCACGAGUGGAGUUCACUAUUAUUGGGUCUAAAAGUGUCCGUAGCUGGUUUAUUAAGUCUCUUGUGAAAUUUCUGUUGCUUAACUCAGAAACUGCAAGAGAUACUGGUAAAACUC